CCCGGCACAAGCGGUGGAGCAUGUGGUUAAUUCGAAGAUACGCGAAGAACCUUACCCAGGCUUGACAUGGUACGAACCUUGUAGAAAUAUGAGGGUGCUCUUCGGAGAGCGUACACACAGGUGCUGCACGGCUGUCGUCAGCUCGUGUCGUGAGAUGUUGGGUUAAGUCCCGCAACGAGCGCAACCCUUGCCAUUAGUUGCUACGAAAGGGCACUCUAAUGGGACUGCCGGUGACAAACCGGAGGAAGGUGGGGAUGACGUCAAGUCCUCAUGGCCCUUAUAGGUGGGGCUACACACGUCAUACAAUGGCCGGUACAGAGGGUAGCCAACCCGCGAGGGGGAGCCAAUCCCACAAAGCCGGUCGUAGUCCGGAUCGCAGUCUGCAACUCGACUGCGUGAAGUCGGAAUCGCUAGUAAUCGCGGAUCAGCAUGUCGCGGUGAAUACGUUCCCGGGUCUU
rnacentral:rRNA from 1 species